rnacentral:rRNA from 1 species
UUCCAGACUCCUACGGGAGGCAGCAGUGGGGAAUAUUGCACAAUGGGGGAAACCCUGAUGCAGCGACGCCGCGUGAGUGAAGAAGUAAUUCGUUAUGUAAAGCUCUAUCAGCAGGGAAGAAAAUGACGGUACCUGAGUAAGAAGCCCCGGCUAACUACGUGCCAGCAGCCGCGGUAAUACGUAGGGGGCAAGCGUUAUCCGGAUUUACUGGGUGUAAAGGGAGCGUAGACGGCAGUGCAAGUCUGGAGUGAAAGGCGGGGGCUCAACCCCCGGACUGCUCUGGAAACUGUAUGGCUGGAGUACUGGAGAGGCAAGCGGAAUUCCUAGUGUAGCGGUGAAAUGCGUAGAUAUUAGGAAGAACACCAGUGGCGAAGGCGGCUUGCUGGACAGUAACUGACGUUGAGGCUCGAAAGCGUGGGGAGCAAACAGGAUUAGAUACCCGUGUAAAA